rnacentral:rRNA from 1 species
AGCAGCCGCCGCGGUAAUACGGAGGGUGCAAGCGUUAUCCGGAUUUAUUGGGUUUAAAGGGUCCGUAGGCGGAUCUGUAAGUCAGUGGUGAAAUCUCACAGCUUAACUGUGAAACUGCCAUUGAUACUGCAGGUCUUGAGUAAAUUUGAAGUGGCUGGAAUAAGUAGUGUAGCGGUGAAAUGCAUAGAUAUUACUUAGAACACCAAUUGCGAAGGCAGGUCACUAAGAUUUAACUGACGCUGAUGGACGAAAGCGUGGGGAGCGAACAGGAUUAGAUACCCCCGUAGUCCCUGUCUCUUAUAU